GAUGAACGCUGGCGGCGUGCCUAAUACAUGCAAGUCGAGCGAACAGACGAGGAGCUUGCUCCUCUGACGUUAGCGGCGGACGGGUGAGUAACACGUGGAUAACCUACCUAUAAGACUGGGAUAACUUCGGGAAACCGGAGCUAAUACCGGAUAAUAUAUUGAACCGCAUGGUUCAAUAGUGAAAGACGGUUUUGCUGUCACUUAUAGAUGGAUCCGCGCCGCAUUAGCUAGUUGGUAAGGUAACGGCUUACCAAGGCGACGAUGCGUAGCCGACCUGAGAGGGUGAUAGGCCACACUGGAACUGAGACACGGUCCAGACUCCUACGGGAGGCAGCAGUAGGGAAUCGUCCGCAAAGGGCGAAAGCCUGACGGAGCAACGCCGCGUGAGUGAUGAAGGUCUUCGGAUCGUAAAACUCUGUUAUUAGGGAAGAACAAAUGUGUAAGUAACUAUGCACGUCUUGACGGUACCUAAUCAGAAAGCCACGGCUAACUACGUG
rnacentral:rRNA from 1 species